GGUGAGUAACACGUAUCCAACCUGCCGUCUACUCUUGGACAGCCUUCUGAAAGGAAGAUUAAUACAAGAUGGCAUCAUGAGUCCGCAUGUUCACAUGAUUAAAGGUAUUCCGGUAGACGAUGGGGAUGCGUUCCAUUAGAUAGUAGGCGGGGUAACGGCCCACCUAGUCUUCGAUGGAUAGGGGUUCUGAGAGGAAGGUCCCCCACAUUGGAACUGAGACACGGUCCAAACUCCUACGGGAGGCAGCAGUGAGGAAUAUUGGUCAAUGGACGAGAGUCUGAACCAGCCAAGUAGCGUGAAGGAUGAAGGUCCUACGGAUUGUAAACUUCUUUUAUAAGGGAAUAAACCCUCCCACGUGUGGGAGCUUGUAUGUACCUUAUGAAUAAGCAUCGGCUAACUCCGUGCCAGCAGCCGCGGUAAUACGGAGGAUGCGAGCGUUAUCCGGAUUUAUUGGGUUUAAAGGGAGCGCAGACGGGUCGUUAAGUCAGCUGUGAAAGUUUGGGGCUCAACCUUAAAAUUGCAGUUGAUACUGGCGUCCUUGAGUGCGGUUGAGGUGUGCGGAAUUCGUGGUGUAGCGGUGAAAUGCUUAGAUAUCACGAAGAACUCCGAUUGCGAAGGCAGCACACUAAUCCGUAACU
rnacentral:rRNA from 1 species